UACUGAACAAGUUUGAACUGGCAGCAAGGACUUCAGGGUCAGGCUUCUGGAGAUGGGUCUUAGCUCCACUGCUUACUACGUCACCUUGGGAGCUGGAAAGGACAUGGAUACAGACAGGGAAGCCAUUGAUUGGGACCAUCAGUGCAUUUAAUCUACCAUACUACCGUCUAGAUUGUUGUGAGACUCAAGUGAGACACAUGGAAAAUGCUUAGAACAGAGCCUACUACAC
rnacentral:lncRNA from 10 species